rnacentral:rRNA from 1 species
AUUGAACGCUGGCGGCAUGCUUUACACAUGCAAGUCGAACGGUAACAGGUUAAGCUGACGAGUGGCGUACGGGUGAGUAAUGCAUCGGAACGUGCCCGAUCGUGGGGGAUAACGCAGCGAAAGCUGCGCUAAUACCGCAUACGAUCUGAGGAUGAAAGCGGGGGACCGUAAGGCCUCGCGCGAUCGGAGCGGCCGAUGUCAGAUUAGGUAGUUGGUGGGGUAAAGGCCCACCAAGCCGACGAUCUGUAGCUGGUCUGAGAGGACGACCAGCCACACUGGGACUGAGACACGGCCCAGACUCCUACGGGAGGCAGCAGUGGGGAAUUUUGGACAAUGGGCGAAAGCCUGAUCCAGCAAUGCCGCGUGCAGGAAGAAGGCCUUCGGGUUGUAAACUGCUUUUGUACGGAGCGAAAAGGUCCUUUCUAAUACAGGGGGCUCAUGACGGUACCGUAAGAAUAAGCACCGGCUAACUACGUGCCAGCAGCCGCCGUAA